UACGUAGGGGGCUAGCGUUGUCCGGAAUCAUUGGGCGUAAAGAGCGUGUAGGCGGCUCGGUAAGUCCGCUGUAAAAGUCAAAGGCUCAACCUUUGAAUGUCAGUGGAUACUGCCGGGCUAGAGUCCGGAAGAGGCGACUGGAAUUCCUGGUGUAGCGGUGGAAUGCGCAGAUAUCAGGAGGAACACCGGUGGCGAAGGCGGGUCUCUGGGCAGUAACUGACGCUGAGGAGCGAAAGCGUGGGGAGCGAACAGG
rnacentral:rRNA from 1 species